GGAGCAUACGCGUGAACGAUGAAGGUUCGGAUCGUAAGUCUGUUGUCAGGAAGAACAAGUGCCGUGCGAAUAGAGCGGCACCUUGACGGUACCUGACGAGGAAGCCCCGGCUAACUACGUGCCAGCAGCCGCGGUAAUACGUAGGGGGCAAGCGUUGUCCGGAAUUAUUGGGCGUCAAGCGCGCGCAGGCGGUUCCUUAAGUCUGAUGUGAAAGCCCACGGCUCAACCGUGGAGGGUCAUUGGAAACUGGGGAACUUGAGUGCAGAAGAGGAGAGUGGAAUUCCACGUGUAGCGGUGAAAUGCGUAGAUAUGUGGAGGAACACCAGUGGCGAAGGCGACUCUCUGGUCUGUAACUGACGCUGAGGCGCGAAAGCGUGGGGAGCGAACAGGAUUAGAUACCCUGGUAGUCCACGCCGUCAACGAUGAGUGCUAAGUGUAAGGGGGUUCCGACCCUUAGUGCUGAAGUUAACGCAUUAAGCACUCCGCCUGAGGAGUACGGACGCAAUGCUGAAACUCACAAGAAUUGACGGGGUGCCGCACAAGCUGGGGAGCAUGUGGGUUAAUAUCGAAGCAACGCGAAGAACCUUACCAGGUCUUGACAUCCUCUGAA
rnacentral:rRNA from 1 species